GCCAGCAGCCAUAUCACACUGCAACUGACAACCCACUGAAGCUCAGCAGGCGUGAGCCUGGCCAGUACCUGGAUGGGAGACCUCCUGGGAAAACUAAGGUUGCUGCUGGAA
rnacentral:rRNA from 1 species